AGUGAACGCUGGCGGUAGGCCUAACACAUGCAAGUCGAACGGCAGCACAGUAAGAGCUUGCUCUUACGGGUGGCGAGUGGCGGACGGGUGAGGAAUACAUCGGAAUCUACUUUUUCGUGGGGGAUAACGUAGGGAAACUUACGCUAAUACCGCAUACGACCUACGGGUGAAAGCAGUGGAUCUUCGGACCUUGCGCGAUUGAAUGAGCCGAUUUCGGAUUAGCUAGUUGGCGGGGUAAAGGCCCACCAAGGCGACGAUCCGUAGCUGGUCUGAGAGGAUGAUCAGCCACACUGGAACUGAGACACGGUCCAGACUCCUACGGGAGGCAGCAGUGGGGAAUCUUGGACAAUGGGCGCAAGCCUGAUCCAGCCAUACCGCGUGGGUGAAGAAGGCCUUCGGGUUGUAAAGCCCUUUUGUUGGGAAAGAAAAGCAGCAGGUUAAUACCCCGCUGUUCUGACGGUACCCAAAGAAUAAGCACCGGCUAACUUCGUG
rnacentral:rRNA from 1 species